rnacentral:tRNA from 1 species
GGAUGUAGCUCAGCUUGGUAGAGCGCUUGAUUUGGGAUCAAGGGGUCACAGGUUCGAAUCCUGCCAUCC